ACGUAGGGUGCAAGCGUUAAUCGGAAUUACUGGGCGUAAAGGGUGCGCAGGCGGUAUUGUAAGUCAGAUGUGAAAUCCCUGGGCUUAACCUGGGAACUGCGUUUGAAACUGCGAUACUAGAGUAUGUCAGAGGGGGGUGGAAUUCCACGUGUAGCAGUGAAAUGCGUAGAGAUGUGGAGGAACACCAAUGGCGAAGGCAGCCCCCUGGGAUAAUACUGACGCUCAAGCACGAAAGCGUGGGGAGCAAACAGG
rnacentral:rRNA from 1 species